rnacentral:tRNA from 2 species
GGAGUGUAGUUUAAUGGUAGAAUAAUGGUCUCCAAAACCACUGAUGAGAGUUCGAUUCUUUCCUCUCC